rnacentral:rRNA from 1 species
CCUACGGGUGGCAGCAGUGGGGAAUAUUGCACAAUGGGGGAAACCCUGAUGCAGCGACGCCGCGUGAGUGAAGAAGUAUCUCGGUACGUAAAGCUCUAUCAGCAGGGAAGAAAAUGACGGUACCUGACUAAGAAGCCCCGGCUAACUACGUGCCAGCAGCCGCGGUAAUACGUAGGGGGCAAGCGUUAUCCGGAUUUACUGGGUGUAAAGGGAGCGUAGACGGCAGUGUAAGUCUGGAGUGAAAGCCCGGGGCUUAACCCCGGAACUGCUUUGGAAACUGUGUGGCUGGAGGACAGGAGGGGUAAGCGGAAUUCCUAGUGUAGCGGUGAAAUGCGUAGAUAUUAGGAGGAACACCGGCGGCGAAGGCGGCUUACUGGACUGUAACUGACGUUGAGGCUCGAAAGCGUGGGGAGCAAACAGGAUUAGAUACCCGGGUAGUC